rnacentral:tmRNA from 1 species
GGGGGUGAACUAGAUUCGACGCGUGUUCGGAUCCUGAGGUAGCGUGCCGAGGUUUCCCGGAACCUCGUGAAACACCGGGAAAAAACACAACUGCCAACGACAACUUGGCUUUGGCUGCGUAACUAACGUAGCCCGUUCUCCGAGCUGCCCGCCCGAGGCGGCACUGAGAGCGCCGAUAAUUCGGGCUGGUCUUCGCAGCAGGCUGCAGGCUGCGUAGAUGAGAUGGCGAAAGCCGCGAGCAGCUGGCUGACGACAGGCCGUCGAGGAGCCUUGUCGCCGGCGAGACUCGAUCCUCGAAUACGCACGUAGAGACCAAAGGGGAAGGUCCCGCGGACCCGGGUGCGAUUCCCGGCACCUCCAUCA